GGGUAGAGGGUCAGUCGGUCAGGGGUAGGGGGCUAAGGAGAGGGAGAGGGAAAAGGGAGCAGACGGCGGCGGUGACCGCUGGAGCGGCGCCGGCGGCGCUGGUGGGUGCGGGAGGGGUUGCCGGUGGGGAAGAGAGGAGGGGAAUGGAAGAGGAAUGGUCGCCGCUCGAGGAGGGGAGAGGGAGCGUGGUCUAGCUCGUCGUCCGGCCCUAGGCUUCGGCGGAGUCUAGGCCGUGCGGGUUUCGCUACCAAAAGCAACUCUUGCGGUACCUGUUCCACGAGACCGGGACAACGACGUCGGUACCUGUUCCACGGUAGGGGUAGAGAAAGAAGAGAGAGACAACCUAAGCAUAACCUUCGUCACUAUAAUUCCUAAAGAAACUAAACUCAAAAAAACUUGUUCUACACACGCCUAGCCUACUUCUUCUCUUCUCCUUCCUAGAACUCCUUCUCACUUGUUGUUCCUGCGUAUUACGUCUCAACACGGACCGACUGAUCCGAUCAAGGGUUGUUUAAGUUCGUCGAUUCGAACGUCCGUACACAUGAUAUUUCCCUUGGUUCAAGACGUAUAUAACAUAAACGUCUCUCGCAAAAACCGUACAUGCCAAGAUUGUUUAAACUCUAGAAGAAAGACUAAGAGCUUCUUUAUUUCAAUGAUAGGUAAUCAUGUUACUCCUUUUUUUACUAUACCACAACUUCGAUACUACUACCUUCGAGAUCUCUUUCAACUUCUACAAAGAUUGUUCUGUCUCAUAUCGACAGGAAACCGGUCAAACUCUUCUAUCUGUUUUUCUCGUUCCGUAAUUGGUGCUAAGAAGAACAACACUCUCUUUCUUUCAGUACCUGAGGUACAUCGUUAAUCUUUCCUGGGACGACGACCUCUCGUCGUUCAUUUGAGUGGUUAGCACGCGAAAAGCAAACCUAACGAUUCUGUUUAAGUAGGUCAGAGACGGAUGAUGUGUGCACACUAUAUUGUCGGCUGAACCGUCUUCGUUGGUCGACCUGACCUAUUGGUGCCGCACGCGCACGACCUCCGGAUCGCCUUCCUCGACGUGCGUGCCACAGACGUAGAAGCCGGAGCGACGUGGGGUCUUAGCUCAGUGUAGCAACACCCAAACGCGAAAGAAUUAUGAUAAACAGAGUCCCACAUAAGGUACCAAGUCUUAUGUACAUGAAAUAUUAAAUGUUACGGACCAAACCUAUUUUUGACAAGGAAUUCGGACAGUCUCCAAUAAACUAUCGUGAUGGGGGUCGACGAUUAAAUACGGAUGUAUGGACAUAGGUAGCGGUAAUAACUUAAGACG
rnacentral:rRNA from 1 species